rnacentral:rRNA from 1 species
CCUACGGGUGGCAGCAGUGGGGAAUAUUGGGCAAUGGAGGAAACUCUGACCCAGCAACGCCGCGUGAAUGAUGAAGGUCUUCGGAUUGUAAAGUUCUUUUCUAAGGGAAGAAGAAAGUGACGGUACCUUAGGAAUAAGCCUCGGCUAACUACGUGCCAGCAGCCGCGGUAAUACGUAGGAGGCAAGCGUUAUCCGGAAUGACUGGGCGUAAAGGGUGCGUAGGUGGUUUGAUAAGUUGGUAGCGUAACUCCGAGGCUCAACCUCGGCACUACUACCAAAACUGUCGGACUUGAGUGCAGGAGGGGCAACUGGAAUUCCUAGUGUAGCGGUGAAAUGCUUAGAUAUUGCGCAGAACUCCGAUUGCGAAGGCAGCAUACCGGCGGCGAUCUGACGCUGAGGCACGAAAGCGUGGGUAUCGAACAGGAUUAGAUACCCUAGUAGUC